CCCUUCCCUUCCUUCCUUCCCUUCCCUUCCCUUCCUUCCCUUCCCUUCCUUCCUUCCCUUCCCUUCCCUUCCCUUCCCUUCCCUUCCCCUUCCCUUCCCUUCCCUUCCCUUUCCUUUUCCCUUUCCUUUCCCCUUUCCUUUCCCUUUCCCUUCCCUUUCCCUUUCCCUUUCCUUUUCCCUUUCCUUUUCCUUUUUCCUUUUCUUUUCCUUUUCCUUUUCCUUUUCCUUUUCCUUUUCCUUUCCUUUCCUUUUUCCUUUUCUGUAUACUUUCCUUUCCUUUACACUUUCAUUUCAAUUCCUAUUUUUAAACUUAGCCUCUCCUUUCAUUUUCUUUCCUUUCCUUUUCUUUCCUUUUCCUUUCCUUUCCUUUUCCUUUUCAGGAAUUUCAGGAAUGCUGAGUCACAGAACAAGCCUAUCUAGUUGAAGGAAUAACCAGUUGUUCGAUUGCGCAUCCUUUACCUUAAAACCAUUUGAAUUGAAGAUAAAGAGAACUAAAGGGGGAAAGGAAAAUAUGAAAUGCACGUCAUGCUGUUUUGGUUAGAUUUGGUUUGAGUUUUUUUCUUUGUGUUCAGAGUUAGAGCAGCAACCAUUUGUUGUUAUUUUAGUCUCCUUGGGGAGGAAUUCUAUG
rnacentral:lncRNA from 1 species